GACGAACGCUGGCGGCGUGCUUAACACAUGCAAGUCGAACGGAAAGGCCCCUUUGGGGGUACUCGAGUGGCGAACGGGUGAGUAACACGUGAGUAACCUGCCCUUGCCUUCCGGAUAACUUCAGGCAACUGGGGCUAAUACCGGAUAGGAAUCCUUGCUGCAUGGUGGGGGUUGGAAAGCUUCGGCGGGUUUGGAUGGACUCGCGGCUUAUCAGCUUGUUGGUGGGGUAGUGGCUUACCAAGGCUUUGACGGGUAGCCGGCCUGAGAGGGGGAACGGCCAAAUUGGGACUGGGGUACGGCCCAGAACCCUACGGGGGGGAGGAGGUGGGGAUAUUGCACAAUGGGCCGAAGCCUGAAGCAGGAACGGCGCGUGCGGGGUGGACGGCUUCGGGGUGGAAACCGCUUUCCGCAGGGGAGAAGCUGGUGGUGACGGUACCUGGAGAAGAAGCACCGGCUAACUACGUG
rnacentral:rRNA from 1 species